rnacentral:rRNA from 1 species
AUCAGUGUGCGGCAGGGAGCGGCGGGCAGACGGGGGGGGCGGGUGUUGUCCGGAAUCACUGGGCGGAAAGGGCGCGUAGGUGGCGCUGAAAGUCGGGGGUGAAAGCUCGAUGCUGAACAUGGAGUCGGCCAUCGAAACUGCGGGGCUCGAGCACUGUAGGGGCAGAUGGAAUUCCGGGUGUAGCGGUGGAAUGCGUAGAGAUCCGGAAGAACACCGGUGGCGAAGGCGGUCUGCUGGGCAGUAGCUGACACUGAGGCGCGACAGCGUGGGGAGCAAACAGGAUUAGAUACCCCAGUAGUC